rnacentral:sRNA from 1 species
UGCUUCGACGUCACGUGUGUCUUG